GAUGCAUUGGCGCGACACAUGACUGCAGCUAACCUCUGCCUCUGCGAAAGCAGCGGAGCCGAAAACAAAAGCCAACUCCACGCUACCGCUUUUCCCAGGGAUUCAGCUUUUCGAGCACAGCGUUCGCGUGGCUCGUGCUGCCACGGAUUUGGGUACUAGUACCCCGCCCGCCCGCACGUACGCAAGCCUAAUUGCCGUACUCACGGAUUUGGGUGCUUUAAACUGCUUUGCAGGGAUCGAUGGGCGUUAGGAUCGAUCGCGCCUGCCUGCCUGCCGCGUAAAACAGAGGACGGAUUAUUCCGUGGCGCCGGUUGCGGCACAUACAUUGCGUUGCGCUCCAGUUGGGAACAAGGAUGAGAUCAACACCCGUGUCUGUAUUCUCUGUCAGGGCUAUCCCAGCUGUGAGGAAGCACUAGGAUGCAUUUCUUCUUGAAAAGAAAACCUCAUCUUUUUCUUCCUUCUGGAAUCGAAUUCGAAUCUUCGCCUUUGAAGUCGUCUAAAGAAAUCACUUGCCAGUCUUCUCGAAGCUCCGCGUAUAUAUUUCGAUCCCGGUAUGCAGAUGGAUGGCCAUUGUCGACGGCGAAAAGGUACGAAGGAUGACGCCCCAACGUCCUUCUUUCCUUCCUUCCAAGUUGAUUCAAAGUCGUCGAUCGAUGACGACGGCAACAGCCACAACGUCGUGCAAACCAGAGGAUGAGGGAUUGAGGGGAGAGCCGUGCGUGCGUACGUGCCCUUGCCGAGUCAACUUAAAGGACCAUGAUCCCCUCCGUGCACAUACCACUACUCCACUUGCGUCCAUCCAUGAUCCAUCCAAAUCUGCAACGACGACAUCACUGAUUCACUCGGCGCUCCAGCAGAAGCAGAUAAACACAGCAGCAGCAGCUACCAAGCUACAGAUCGGAUCCAGAGUGACGACAUCUUUGCAUCGGGAGCCGGGCGCGCGGCAGUACAAGAUUCACCUGCUGGACUAGUUCUUUUCUUCUGCUAAGUAUCUUUUUUGUCUCCGAGUGACAAUUGUAUACUGGAGUAGUAGUUUGCUGUUUAACCGACCAUAUGAGGGCUGCUGCUGCUGAGUGCUGAGUCAGGUUAGGUUGCAUCUUUUGUUAAUGGGCUGACGAGCUACAGAUCGAUCUAAUCGCCUAACUAAACUAAUUGAGCACAUGACCCUUUAACGAUAAGCAUCCACUCCAGCGUCGAUCUGGACCUGCACACCGACCAAUUCUUUUCACGAGCAACUGCACCGCCCAGUCCGAUCAAAUCUCGUAAAUACUCGGUGGUACACAUCUUCUUUUUUACUGUACAUGGUAGCAGGUCUUAAAUAUGCCUUAGUUUGCAUCAUCUGUGAUCCAAACCCGCUUGCAGUCUCCGUUCAGAUCUCAAGAUGGGUUUUGAAAAGUUCGAUCUGUGCAUGCAGAACUAUAAUACAGGAAGUCGAAAAUGUAUUUUCCGUAACGAAGACGAGACUAUUACGCAUGUUUUUUCGGUGUCGUGUCUUUCGUUUUGUGUGGUCAAUGGUCCAAAUAACUUCCAAUCUUGUCCCUUCUUGUGAUGUUACUCGUAUGUUUGGAUUCUGAUUACGGGGGUUAAUCUAAGAUUGAGACCGCUUCUCAUGGUUGGGGCGGCUGCUUUAUGUUGGCAAUUUGGUUCUGCAGAAAUGAUAUUGUUUUUAAUAGAAAGAACGUAACUUUUCCAAUGCAGGUUUUCUAUUCGUCCACUCAUUGGCGCCGUACAUGAUCUACUCUUCUCAAACCAGUGGAUCAUCAACUGGCUUUGAUGGCGUGCAACACUUUGGAGCAAUUGGGGGCUUUUUUUUACCCACAAUGGGUGACGGUCUAGUCUGCGAAUUGAGCAUGCAUAAAGAUGUUAUUUUUUUAUCGUUGUAAUUUUUGAGUUUUGCUUCGUACUUGUGUGGCUGUGUGCGUUUCGACGCAGAG